CAGGACGAACGCUGGCGGCGUGCCUAAUACAUGCAAGUCGAACGGUCUUUCUAAUGGAAGCUUGCUUCCACUGAGAAGAUAGUGGCGAACGGGUGAGUAACAACUGGGUAACCUGCCCAUAAGAGGGGGAUAACAUCCGGAAACGGGUGCUAAUACCGCAUAGUUUCUUUGAUACGCAUGAUUGAGAAAGGAAAGACGGCCUUUGUGCUGUCGCUUAUGGAUGGACCCGCGGCGUAUUAGUUAGUUGGUGAGGUAACGGCUCACCAAGACGAUGAUACGUAGCCGACCUGAGAGGGUGAUCGGCCACAUUGGGACUGAGACACGGCCCAAACUCCUACGGGAGGCAGCAGUAGGGAAUCUUCCGCAAUGGACGAAAGUCUGACGGAGCAACGCCGCGUGAGUGAAAGAAGGUUUUCGGAUCGUAAAACUCUGUUGUCAGAGAAGAACAAGUUGGAGAGUAACUGCUCCAGCCUUGACGGUAUCUGACCAGAAAGCCACGGCUAACUACGUGCCAGCCGCGGC
rnacentral:rRNA from 1 species